rnacentral:rRNA from 1 species
UACGUAGGUGGCAAGCGUUGUCCGGAUUUACUGGGCGUAAAGAGCGCGCAGGCGGUCGUUCAAGUCGAGUGUGAAAGCCCCCGGCUCAACUGGGGAGGGUCACUCGAUACUGAUCGACUCGAAGGCAGAAGAGGGAAGCGGAAUUCCUGGUGUAGCGGUGAAAUGCGCAGAUAUCAGGAAGAACACCCGUGGCGAAAGCGGCUCUCUGGAACGGUACUGACGCUGAGACGCGAAAGCGUGGGGAGCGAACAGG